rnacentral:rRNA from 1 species
AUUGAACGCUGGCGGCAGGCCUAACACAUGCAAGUCGAGCGGCUGAGGGGAGUUUGCUCUUGGAUUCAGCGGCGGACGGGUGAGUAAUGCCUAGGAAUCUGCCUGGUAGUGGGGGAUAACGUCCGGAAACGGGCGCUAAUACCGCAUACGUCCUGAGGGAGAAAGUGGGGGAUCUUCGGACCUCACGCUAUUAGAUGAGCCUAGGUCGGAUUAGCUAGUUGGUGGGGUAAAGGCCUACCAAGGCGACGAUCCGUAGCUGGUCUGAGAGGAUGAUCAGUCACACUGGAACUGAGACACGGUCCAGACUCCUACGGGAGGCAGCAGUGGGGAAUAUUGGACAAUGGGCGAAAGCCUGAUCCAGCCAUGCCGCGUGUGUGAAGAAGGUCUUCGGAUUGUAAAGCACUUUAAGUGGGGAGGAAGGGCAGUAAGUUAAUACCUUGCUGUGUUGACGCUACCAACAGAAUAAGCACCGGCUAACUUCGUG